ACAUGUCUACAACAUAGCGUUAAUGCAUUGAAUCCCUUUAGAACUCUGCAGUUAAGCGUGCUCAAGAUAGAGUAGUAUUGGGAUGGGUGACUACCCAAGAAGUCCUAGUGUUUUACAUGCC
rnacentral:rRNA from 1 species